CCCGGUUGUAAAGCAAAGAUGCCUGGGGUGGGAUGCAGGCUGCCCGGGGAGGCAACCCUCGUUAGGGAGGGUCCAUCAACGCUCUCAGACCCAGGAAAGAGAAAGCCCUGGCCCUGACUCAGAAUUGGAUUCUAGCUGGAGGCGUCCUCUCCGUGGCUGGCUCCAGGGAAAGAUGGGGAAACUGAGGCCCGAGAGGUGCUGUCGGUGCCCCCAUGGGGAAGUUGGGUACCACGACUGGGAAACUGAGGCUCGAGGAUUUGGAGUUGGAAUGGAUGGCGCUGUCACUGAACGUGGGUCAGCCCGUCUCCAGAAGCCACACUGAAUGUUCCCUUCGACGCACAAACAACAAAAUCAAGAACAAAGGCCCACCUCGCUGCACACAGAGCCGCUCCUGGCUGACUUAGGCUCUCUCCGUGGAUGCAAGCAGGGGGACUACUGGGCACCUUUCAGCAUCACUCCCUUAAGUUGGGACCAAGAGGCAUUCUGAGACGAACCGCAGGGUCUUGGUCUAGAGACGUCUGGAAACUUCAGAGUGAGACAGUGAGGAAACUGAGUCUCAGAAGGGAGCCCUGGGGAGCAGACCCAGGGGGGUUCUGUGCCCCAGCCUCUUCAAGGACAGAAUCAUCCAACCACCAAGUCAUUCCCCAAGAGACACCAGGCAAGAACAGUGAGUGCGGUGGACACGGGAAGGAUGCUGGUGACAGAGCCACCUCCGCAAUGCAGUGCACACAUUGCCAUGGUCCUCAUGGGAGGUACCAUGGGCUCCAGCUGAAGGUCAGAGAGAAGGCCAUGGCCAAGGUCACUGUGCUGGAAAGCAUCACGGCUGGCUCUGGAGCCCUGGUUGGUCCAUCUGAUGGCAAAGACCUCCUUGCCCAGACCCCAGCUCAGCGUCCAGCGCCGAUCAGAGCCCCGUGCUCGGUGCUGCAGAGCGCUUGGCAUCCAGCAUAUGCUUAACACCCAGUUAGCCUCCCUCCUUGCCCUGGUCCUGCCAGGGUGUGACCUUGGCCGUGUCAUUCUCCGCUUCCAGGCCUCAGUUCCCUAUCUGUGCAGGGAGGGUGCUGCCCCGGGGGGUGUCCUAGCUCCCCUCGCAGCCUCAACAUCCUAGACUUCCACUGCCGAAGCCAGGAAGAGUUGGUGGGGUUCCCCGGGGCUGGGGCAAAUUUGGGGGCCAGGGCUCCUUUCUGGAGGGACCCAGCCGAGCCCCGCCGACAGCCCCCAGCACCCCCCAAAACAGCAGUCCCGGCCAAGCCUGGCUCCCCACCUCCAUCCCUUGUCCCCUUCCACCAGGCUUGGUCCUCCCCCCCACCCAUCACACCGACACCCUUGCCUCUGACCGGGGCUGCCCCCCACAAUGGCCGGUGCCCGAAGCGCCUUGAAAAAUCUCUCUCUGGCAUCCCUUCCCCAACACACAGCCCCAGCUGGCAGCGAGGUGAGCAGAGAGUGAGGGGGAGAGAGGAGAGAGCAGAGAGGGAGGGAAAUGCAAAUGUUUUUUAUCCUCCUUUUCUUUUAAACGCUGAAACCCGCCUCGACAGCCUCUGAAAAUAAACGGCACCGACUUGCUGGGAUUUCAAAUUCCGUGAUUAAGGGCUGAAGCAAAUACUUCUUCCCUCCCUCCCUCCUGCCUCCCCCGCCCUCCCUCCGUGGGCUGAUAGAGCGGCUCGCGGGGCCGAGGACAGCUUUUUGCGAGCCUGCCAGGAGCUCUGAUACGCAGCCUCCCGCCGCCGGCAGC